AUGGGAAGAAAAAGAAUUGGUUGUGCUAGCUCAAGUUGUGGACAUUGCAAAUGGGUUACAACAUCAUAUUGCUCUGAAAAUAUCCCAUCUAGUGAGAUUGUGGACAAUAUUAUCUGCUCAAGUUCUGACGUUCACCAGUCGAAUGCAAGUAGUGCAACAUGUAUUGACGAUUCUACAACUAGAUAUUUUCUUCUUAGCGAUUCGAGAUAUAUGCAAUCUGAUGGUGAAGUCAUUGAUUGGUCCGCUAUUGCGAUAACUCCUAUUGAUGAUCAUGUAAUAUAUCCUAUAUCCCAUGAAGACGUGUGUGAGCUACAUGGAAUUGAGGAUGAGACCGAGGAUGCUAAACCAGUAAAUGAGCCAACUCCGGUUGUUGCGGGCCAUGUUAGUGACGAGUUAAUGGCUGAAGGAGCUAUACCACUUGAUGAUCACGUUCCCGAGGAGAUAGAAAUGUCAUAUGACAAAGAUUAUCCAAAAGUUGAGAAAGGCUCAAUCUUUCCAACAAUGAUAGAUUGUAGGAGGGCUGUGUGGCAAUAG
rnacentral:rRNA from 1 species